AACUACUGUAAUCUACCUUAUCUAUUGCAGGAGCAAAUUGCAGCCUUGGGGAAAGAGAACAAAAAAAUAAAGGACUUGUUUUAAAGGUGAUGGAAGAAGAAGCAUUCUCAAAGAAAAAGAAAAAGCAAUGGAGUGAAAUGACGUACACAAUACAAGAUCCUUUAGUGGAG